rnacentral:rRNA from 1 species
UACGGGGGGAGCAAGCGUUGUUCGGAUUUACUGGGCGUAAAGGGCGCGUAGGCGGUCGUGACAAGUCACUUGUGAAAUCUCCGGGCUUAACUCGGGACGGUCAAGUGAUACUGUCGUGCUAGAGUACAGAAGGGGCAACUGGAAUUCUCGGUGUAGCGGUGAAAUGCGUAGAUAUCGAGAGGAACACCGGUGGCGAAGGCGGGGUCUCUGGGCAACAACUGACGCUGAGGAGCGAAGGCGUGGGGGAGCGAACAGG